rnacentral:tRNA from 1 species
GAGGAUUUAGCUUAGUGGCAUAAGUGCCUGCCUGACAAGCAUGGGAUUGUGAGCUCAAUCCUCG